rnacentral:tRNA from 1 species
UCCCUGGUGGUCCAGUGGUUAAGACUUCGUACUUGCAAUGCAAGGGGUGCAGGUUCGAUCCCUUGUCAGGGAA